CCAGAAGCGGCUUUCUCCAGAGACACUGAGAGCGCGGUUUUGGAAGAAGCGUAAGUUGGGUUUGGCUGAGUUCGCGCCAGCCUGGUUUCCUGCUCUAUCUAGUUUGGAGAGGAUUCACUCCUCACGGCUUUUUUUCCCUUCUGCAACCUGAGUGGCGUGGCCGCGCAGUGAUUUCCGUGAGCGUUGCUAAAGUGGGACCUAGGUCGUGUUCAGGGCAGAUUGUAUCUGCUUUUGGUAAACAAGAAGCAGAAAGGAAGUUUGAAACUCUGUUGCAAAACUUGUCCCAUUCCUCCAUCAUUCACAACUGUCAGAGAAAAUACACAUUUAGCCUCAGUACAACAUGUGAAAAAUCUGUUAUGUGAUGAACUUCAGAAGGAGAAGCUUCUUGGAGCUGGGAUUCAAGACUCUAAAGAAGAGGCUGUUACCUAACUGCUACUUGGGAUUCGGAGCAGGCGAACCUCCAUUCUUACCUGAAUCUUUUGAUGGAAUUCUUCUUGAUGCCCCCUGCAGUGGAAUGGGACAGAGGCCAUACAUGGCUUGUACUUGGACUUGGAAGGAAGUGAUAUCAUAUCAACCAUUACAGAGAAAACUCUUUACUGUGAUUAAAAGUGAGAAUACUGCACAAUUUGGCUACCUUUUAUCACCUGAUGGAUCACAUACAGGUUAUUAAGAGAUGUGAGUGGUGAGAAAGAGAAGAAAGCAUCCUCUGAGAGCUGGGAAGUGGCUGGACACUUAGAGCUAAGCCUUGGCGUCCUACCACCGAACAGAAGCAGGUCCAGAGAACACCGACCUCAGACCAGGCACCUGUGACUGGGCCAGAUCAAGACAAAAAAGACCUCUUCACAGUUAAAAAUCUGAAAGCAUCCAAACCGCAAACGUGACCAAACACCACAUCUGUCCCUGUAGUGGCCAGUUUAAGUGGACUGCCUUUUUAAAAUUAAUUGUAACGGUAGGCUUGCUUCAUCCUACCUGCUUUUUUAGGUUUCCAUUAGGAAUUUCUCAAAUCUCUUUAUUGCAUCCAUCAGGAAUGCCAGGUCUCGUGGAUCAGUGUGACACUUGACGUAUGAAUAAGAGGAGAAUAUCCUGCACUGCAUCACUUCGCAAAGGGUGAGGAAUUAAAUUCAUCAUCAAGAGGGAUCUCCAUUUUAAGAAUGAACAAUAAAAUUUAAAAUCUGAGUCAAGAAUUGCUGAAUAUGUAGAAUGAAGAUGGGGAGAAGUUGACUCGGCUGUGCUCAGGCCUCAGGAACCUUUUACCUGCCGGAAGCUGUCAUUUUAUCAGACGUGAUGGGAAGACCACUGCAGGCCCGAAGUGACUGGCGUGGCCUCACAGGAAGAUGGGCCAUGAGUGGGAGGUGCUGGAGCAAGAACAAGGAGCCAGCAGAUGCGCGCCCCCUCUGGCUGUGAGCUUCCUCUCGUCCCUGCCCGCCCCCCGGACCCCGCAGCAUCCCGUGGCCUGUGACCUGCAGGGCAGGUGGGUGGGCGCCUGACGCCAGGCUGGUUUCUUCAUCCGUCUUCCGCAUUCAGAUCCACUCGUGCACACUCUCGCACCCAGACCCACACGCAUGCACACAUGGAACUCCGGCUCAGACGACAGUGGCCGAGAAGCACGCGGUUGUCGCAGGCAGUGCCCACCGAUGGAGUAGAACAACCUUUGGAGUUUGAUUAUAUUUACCAUCAUUUACGGUCAAAAUCGUUGACUUACAAGGGUGGGAAAACAUUCAGAAAUCAGCCUGUUCAAGUCAAGCAGUCACACGUAUUUACAGUAUGUACAGACUUUCUCCUAGAAGGGGGAUAGGUGUCUGGACGAUGGUAUUACAAAUUUCCUGAAGGUGGGCGUUUCUAGUCCCUGUAAUUCAUAAAGCAAAUCUGCUGACUUGGCAUUAAGACUCUAAAACAGUGUGGUCAAACUUAUAUAUAUGUAUAUAUAUAUAAUAUAUAUAAUUAUUAUAAGAAGGUGUUUGCAGAAAUAACAUUUACAAACUGUCUAUACAGUACACAAUACUAGUACAUAGAAAAUAGAUUGUAACUUUAUGAUCCCCUUUGUGUAAGGCAAGACUGAAUCUGUCCCCAAAUUUAGCCAGAGGUACAAGCAAGAAACAGUGGUCCAUGAUGAAUAUGCAAAUCAGGUCGGUGCCUACAUAUUAAAAGUCACGAGAAUCAAGAAAUCCCACUUUUAAUAUGGGCCAGUCCUGGCCUGCUGGAUACAUCAACUACCUUUUGCAAAAUGUCAGCUAUGCAUCUUAAAAUACUAAUGCCAUAGGGAUGGCAAAAGAUUUUGUUCAAGCCCAGACAGUUGAAAUAGUCCAGUCCACAACAAGAGGAUGGCAGCCUUCCAGGACAAUUCAGGUAGCACUUAGGAAAAAAAGAAUAUUAAUACCCUAUUUCAUGCUAUUGCUAGUUAAGCAAUAUGUACAAAAUAUACAGAUCAAAUAUGACUGCGAUGUAGAUGCCCUCCAGACUGAGUGUGAGGGUGGUGGUGUACCAGACUUUAAAAACCAAAAAAAAAAAAAAAAACCCAAAAAACCAACCAACCCCCAACGACACAAAAGGAGGAACGUCACUGGCGGAUGUAAACAUCCCUGUUGCAGUCCCCAGCCUCGUUUCACUUCCUGGCGAGCCCUUCUGCGUCCUUGAAUUUGUGGCGGCUCCACUAUAUGCUGCACUCGUUGUGGUGCAGUGCCGGGACCUCCGUGGGGCUCCUCCCUGUGGCUGUGGUCACGGUGGGCGGCGCAGUGGUCCACGGGCUCAUGGCAGGAAUCUUCCUUGGUGGAGUCUCGACUCUCCUGUGUCUCUGAGUCCAGCCUCUCCUGCCUGGAGAGGCUGUGGCCGGCACCACUGCGGUGGUUGUGGUGCUGGGUGGAGGACGAAGACCAGUGCUGGGGUUUCCGGACCGGCUCCGGGCAGGCUUCUUCUUCAACUUGGGAAGCAGACUGGCCCGGGGCUGAGCGAUCCGUCCUCUGAUCGCCUGGAGGACCCUGGAGGCAAAGGGGGCAAACACAGGCCUCAGCCAAUUCCGGAGUCGUUAGAACUGUCACAAAAGCAAGUCAUUCCCAGUGGAAUCCCUUUUUGAGGGAUUUGAAAGUGAAAUCUAACCUCGCUCUGUUGCUUCUUUUGCUAACAUCCCGUGGCAUUUGUAAGGUACUCAGUUGACACUGGAGGUACUUGAGGACUCAGCGUUUGUCACAUUCUGGAUAGAGCUGCCCAGUUGGAACACGCACGGCACCCGGGUUCGGGGCACAGAUCCUAGCCAGGCAGCCGCAGGGAAGAGCUGCUUGCUUACCUCAGGGAGAACUCGAGGAGGAAGAAGACAACAUCGGCUGGUGAUUCCUGCUUAGACGUCACCCACCACUGCUUCUCCAUCAUCAGCACAAAUGUCAGAACAGUGAAAAAGGGGGCGAAUGUCUCAGUGUUACUUACCAUGGAGAUGCUCUUCGCCUAAUGGACCCUCUGACAGCGCCUCAGAAGCUCCUCCACCAUGAAUCCAUGGGCUACUCUUUGGGAAUCACUGUUCCACACCAUGAAAUUAAUCAUCCUCCUCUGCUUAUAUGAAUCUUAACAAUUCUUGAUCACCAUCUCUCUCUCAAACCCUCUGUGGAAGGUAAAAGCCUGUUUAUAAUUGGAAAGCAGGAUAUAAACACAUUAGUAAAGUUUCAUUGCACAACAAACACUAACAACCUGGUUUACCUUAGAAGACAUCUUGUAAUAGGGGCCAGAGAGGUUUUACUGAGUUGAGCUGGAUGAUUAAUAGUAUCUGCAUCAAGGUCCACCAGUUGCAGUGUUCUUGCAAGUUCAAAAAUCCUCUUGAUUUCACUCUGAACUUCUGCUGUAAAAGAUAAAAGUAAAAUGCUGCUCCUGGAGGUGAGCCAUUAGGUUGAUGUCCACAGGUAAGAGAGCUGAGAACAGGCAUCAAGGGAAAAAGCCAUUUCUUCACAACACCUCCAGAAUUUAGAGAAUUCCUAUCAGCUAUAAGAUUUAGUUCUAAUAUAACAUACAAUCUGAGAGUCAACUUUUUUGGCUCUGUGCUGACUUGGGUGUGGUGCUAUAAACUUCACUCUAUGAAGUCAUUUCAUGAAAAUUUAUAAAAUAUAAACUUGAAGAGCUGUC